rnacentral:lncRNA from 1 species
UGAAAAACGAAAAGGAAGAUUAAGUUUUAAAUGAAUUGAAACUCCUAGAUCUUUUGAGAUUCAUUGAACUUUUCAAUGGCAUGUUUAAUCUCGAUUAUGCCCUACUAUUUGUGACUGGGAUGCCGAGGAUCACAAACAAGGUGUGAAUAACCAUACGAAUCACGUGGUGCACCCAAUGCUACUAUCACCUAAUCAAUGUGCCGGUUAGCCACACACGCUCCAUUGAUCUAUGACAAACAUCGAGUCACCCUUCGCUACCAAUGUCAUCCCCAAAUUAGUGUGCCGGUUAACCACACACGCUCCACUAACGUUUGACAAGGGUACGAAGUGUAAUUCCAUGGGUUAGCAUACAAUUUCACAUUUUGCCUAAAGUAACUAUGAUUUGGGAAUUUGAAAAAGCAUUUAGUUACUUUGUACUUCAUUAUACUUAUAAUGGAAGGUUUCUGUCCUAUCCUACCCGUUCGGCUAACGACCCUCCACUAGUCAAGAGUGCGGUGGGUAAGAGUGGAUACCCAUUCAAUCGCCAUUUUAUAGGCAAUUUCCUUAAACACCCCUUAUAGACUAGCUUCGUGAAUGAGGCCUACUAACGGUAAGACUGAAUUUUUAGUUAUACAUAUAUAAUAUUAAACUUUUAAUGUUAUAUAUAGUAUAAGGGUGUAUUUUACACUUUUAAAAUACUAGGUGGUUUAAAUUAUACUUUUAAUUAACCAAAAUCAUUAUGGAUUUAUUAAAUCUCUUUUAAUUAUACACUUAAUUAAUUUAAUAAAACCAUAAGGGUUUAAUUUGAACUUUUCAAAAUCAGGGUUUUGGAUUUUAGACUUUCAAAAUUAACUUUUAAUCAACAAUUUAAAUUCCAAAACUUGAGGGCAAGUUUUGAAACUCUUCAAAACAAUUAGGUUUUAAUCUCACUUAAAAUUUUGAAUUUGAGACAUUUAAAUUAAAAUUUUAAAUAUUAAAACUGUUGAUUUAAUAAUUACCAUAAAUUAAACAAUUAAUUUAAAUUAUUAAAUCACAAGGGAUUAUCUAGAUCAUGAGGAUAAUUACCAAUUAUACAUCUAAGAUAUCCAAAUCCCUUGAAUCCCUCUCUAAAUCUCGAAAAUAAGGGAUGGGAUAAUUCAAGAUCUUUAAUUACCAUAUUUAACAAUUAAAAGAUAAUUACAAGAUAUGGGAUUAUCCAAAUCCCUAAAAUUUAGGAUCUAACCUUGGGGAAGGAGGUAAUUUCGAAAUCCAAGGGUUGGAAAACCCUAGAUUUCAAAAUCUUGGAGGCUAAGGAAAGGAUUUGGGAAACCCUAGCAAAAAUCGCCAUCUAGGGUUUAGCAACCCUAAUUGCGAAAAAUACCUAGCCUUUAGGGUUCAUUAGCCAUAAACCCUAAUAUGUCAAGUUCAUAAAUUUGAAUAAAAGCUAAUUGAAAACAAAAACCAAUGGCUCUGAUACCACUGAUGGGUUUAAUACAAACAAUCCUAUGUGUGCAUGCAACCCUAGUAUUGGAUCUAUGUUUUCACUAUUAGUUAUACAGCUUUAUGAACACAAAAAGAAACCUGGCAUGCUACUAUAAUUUUCGAAAUUCAUAUAUAAAGCUAGAAUACAUACCUUUUGUUGUUAUAUAGCAAUAACAACUAGUUCCUUGAAUUUCCUUAGCUCUUGAAAGCAAGUACCACAAGUGUAGUACCUCUAAUGGAGUCACAAACACCAUAUGCAACUUGGAUGAAGAGGAGAAGAAAGGGAGGCACCAAAAACGGCUGGAAACCCUAAUGGAAGACUUGUUCACGUUUUUGGGGCAUAGGGGCCCUUUAUAUACAUGUAGGCUAUUAGGGUUUACAACUAGGAAACCCUAAUUUGACUGCUUAGGCCCUAAGCAGCCCAUGGACUCCUUAAACAUAUCCCUUGGACGAUUUCUAAUGGGCUUCCCAUAGAAUUCGUCCAACCUAUAUAUUAUUAGGUGAUCCAUAGCCCAAUUAUAAUUAUCUUAUAAUUACAACUUCAGUCCCCUAAGUUUAAUUAAUCUCUUUUAGCCACAAAAUUAAUUAACAAUUAAUUCUUGACUAAUAUUAAUUAAACAAUAUGAUUUCUCCUUUAAUAUAUUAUUCUCAUAAUAUAUUAAUAAAUCAUAUUUAAACCUUUCUCUCCUUAAAUCAUCCUACAUAUUGCUAUGGUGAAGGCAACCCAAAAGGACCAUGCUCAUAAUCGGGUCAAGUACAUACCAAAAUAGUUAUGGACUUAGACACUAAUCCAACAGUCUCCCACUUGGAUAAGUCUAAUAACUAUUUUCCGUAUGACUUCAAAACCUGAUCAGCAAUCGUAGCUUUCAAAAGCCGCUGUCAACUCUGAUCUUAUCAGAUAGCGUGUCCUCUAGAUAAGGGAUUAUAUAUUCCUCCAUUCUCAAGAUAUCGUAUAGACAAAAGACAUGAAUUUCAAUCAUUCUCUCUAUACUUUUUCCCGACUUCCGAUUCAUGACGACUGAUAACAGACUACAAUUGAACACAUCAACUUAGUCCCGGCUUGGCCAAGCGCUUAGAUGUCAUCACUAAAUCAUCGAGAGGCCCACAUAUAUCGCUUUUAUCCCACUUUGGGUAAAAGGAAUGGAUAAACUUCGACUCAAAUGCUCGCUUGCAUUUACUGAUCGAAUCACACACAACAAUAAGUUUUAUAACACCAAGUUACUGGUGCGUUUACUUAUUAUCAAUGUGUAACUGACCAACAAAUAACAACUCACACGUCUCGGUUUCAAGAAUAUACAAUAUUAUCGUCUCACUAAUCACUCGUGAUAAAACCGUGAAGUGAUCCAAGUGAGCGUGGGUUUAAUCCAAUACUUUAAUCUUAUCAAAGCACUCACGAACUCUGCAGCAAACUUGUGCCAUGUCUAAACACUUCAGACAAUCUACAGACAGAUUCAUGACAGUCUUUAUUCAUACCUACUCCCAACGUAUGACCAACUGUGGAUGUUUGAAUAACCUAGUUAUUCUGGAAGUCAAAACAUGCAAAUUGAAACAUGACAACAAUACUUAAUCCUAUAUGGCCCCAAACUUGUGAGAGUAAAUAAAACCCUUCUAUUUAUCCACCAUAUUGAUUACUCAUUAUUUAUCAUUUAAUGUUUCGGAUAAUCAACUCAUUACUUGAAUUAUACCAACAAUUGUCCCAUGCUCUAAACAUGCACACUUUGUUUCCUAUGGUCCAUGCUUUGUGAAAUAGAUCACCUGAAAACUUUUCCAAUGAUGCUCAUUUCACAAUUCCUUAAUCCUAAUUAUUAGUGUAGGAACACAAGGUUCUUGCCACUACUAGAAUAUGCUAGAUUCUAACAUUUUACGCAACGAUCCUUUCGUAAAGUCAUAGCACAAAAAUCACCAAGACUUGGCUAAUGAAAUUACAAAGUGCUUUCUUAGAAAUUGUUACAAGACAAUUCCAUAGAUGUGAAGUCUCACAUUCAAAGUACAUUCCUUUGAACAUCCUUCUUGCAUAAAAGUUUCUAAUCUAGGCAUAGACUCUCAAUAUCCAACUCCCAAUAUGGAAACAUUUCCACAUUUGCCAUAUGACAACUCAUUCUUAAUAGAAUCUUAUCUAUUCGUAAUAAUGUCGAUAUGGUCCAUCCAAUACCAUACUUUCAACUACUUACAAGCGAUCAAUCCUCAGCGAACUUUGGAUCAUCCUUUGAUAGUUGUUAAAUUCUUUCAGUCAAAACCAAUUCUAUUCCUUUUUCCCUCUUAAUGCGCUAGACAUUUGGAAAAUUUUAGAAUGGUAAAAUACUAUAGCAUUUACAAUCGAUCCUAUACCCGAAGCGUAUGGGACACGAUGCAUAAUGUCUUACAUAAAGAUAUGAUACUUUACCAAUCUUUUGCCAUAAUAUUUUAUGUGUCAUGUUCUCACAAUUCGAACUAUGAAGAGGGAUGCCGUAAUCAUAAUCGAAUUUUAAGAACACACAAUGUAUCCUUUGACUGAAAAUAUUAAAAUUUCUUAAUCUAAGCUUUAGAUUUUGAAACGGAGUAUAAUAUUCUCUCCCUUAAUUAUAGCAAAACAACUUUUCAACCCAUGCAACUUUGCAAAUGGAAUCUUUGUUUUUCUAUAAUUAAUAUUGCUAACUUGCAAUACUCGCCAUAACAAUCAUACAAGCAUAACACUUAUGCUCCCACUAUCAUGAUGAUUAUCAUAUAAGCAUAACAUUUAUGCUCCCACUAGCUUUGACAUGUAUUCAGAAAACAAAUGAACUUUCAGAAAACAAUGCCUAUUGAAUCUCUGAAAUUCAUAUUUCUAAUACCAGAUGCUUCGAUAAGCCUUUAUCUAAGCUUCUUAACCUUAUACACCUUUGCCUUAGAUAGCUCAUAUGUGUGUUUAAACAAUUCAUAACUUAUGUUACUAAGUUCCAAAUGUUGAAACUAAUUGCCAAAUCUCACAAUUCGAACUAUGGAAAGGGAUGCCGUAACCAUAAUCGAAUUUGAGAAUACAAUUUUCACAAUUGCUAUCUUCUUAAAAUCUCUCUUAGUGAAAGCAUUUCCUCACAGUCAUUUUCAUGAAGGAGGGAAUCUUAUGACACUUAGAUUUUAUGGUGUAUGAGUUCCUAUCCAUGUGAAUUUGCCAAAAACAAGGUUUGCGACAAAUCCAAACUCAUAUGGACUGAACUUUCUUAAUCUUGAUUUCUUGCCCUAUGGUAACACGAGUGCCCACCAUGCCUUCCAAGUAGUUUAGUAACUUGUCCUUACAUAUCAAUUUACUUUCCAUCGACUAAGGCUUUAGUGUGUAUUCAAAUGAGAACUCAUAGAACUCAUAUACACAAUUAACUCAAUUGGAAUGGCACAGAAACAAAACAAUGUCAGCACGAUAGGUUGUAAACCUCAAGUCGUGUGCUAGUGAUGAUCGAUAAGGUUUAUUCUUGAUUUGUUCUUGAAACCUUUUCAAGACCAUUAAGACUCCCACUGACUUCUUGACAUAUAAGAUUCUCUUGUCAAGAAACAUUUCUUGACAAACAAAUAUUCAAUAGUUAGUGAAGCAUUUAUCAAGACAAAACACUUCACACAAUUGGUCCUAGUUGGUCUUUGUCUUAUCCAAGACAGCACAACUUACCAAUUUCAAAUGUGCAAGAAUAAGAAAACUUUUCCAAAUUCCACAUUUGAUGAGUGUUAUAAACCUACUUAAGACUUUUCACUCAAUGUCACAAUCUUGACUCUAAGACUUGAUAUUGGAACGAAGUAUGAUUGACUCUUUGAUUUAACCAUUUCUACAAUUCUCGAUUCCUCUUCUUAGACAUGCAAUUGCACUAAGACUCACUUAGAGGAUCAAUUGAGACAUGGUUCUUAAUCAUUAAGACUUAUCAUAAAACACAAUAAAAGGUACUCUCCCUUCUUCUUAGAAUAGAGAAACUUUUAUCUUUCUGCCUACUUGAUUCUUCUUUAUUCGUUCUACUAUUCAUUGAAACUCUUUCAAUCAACUCAGAAUUACACUUAAUCUUAUAAGUAUAAUCAUAUUUACUAAACUUUAGUAAAUCAUGACGAAUAUCUUUGUCACUCUUGUGGUGGACUUGAUCAACGCACAACCUAGUGUACUUGAUCUCCUAGUCCUUCAAUUGACACUUUGUCAAAGAAUUAGUCUAAGUUUCCCAAAUGUGAAAGUUUUUCAUUCAUCAUACAAUACACAUUGCAUGAUUCCAAGUUUCUGUCCAAUUGAAACUUGGGCGAUGAGAAACUCUCCCUAUUUGGUAAACUUUUGACAUUUCCACAAAUAACAUAAUUAAGAAUCAAAUCCAUUAUUGCUAAUAAUAGAAACAUUCAAACAUUAAUUUUUUCAUACAUGCCAUUGCAAGGAUAAAUAAAUAAGAUAAAAUCAAAAUUCAUUUUAUUGCGGAAAAAAUUUGUCCUUACAAUGCAAUUCAAUUGAAAAACUAUGUUAUUACAUAUUUCUUAACAAUCUAUUCUAACUCCAAGUAGUAGCUCAAGAAUCCAUUCUUCAAGUAAUGCGAUCGAAAUCCAUUUCUUCAUGAUUAGAUUCAGCUCACUUCUUCCCUCAAGCUUCCUCUCUUUUCUUCGAUCCUACAAAACAUCAAAAUGUAAUCUUAUCACAUCAUGUAUUAAGAAUCUAGAAUAGGAACUCAAAAGAGUUAGAUAAUGGAUUUUACCUGAAGCAGAGCCAUACGUCUUGACUCUCCCAUCUCUUAGAUCUCUCAGGUAGUUAGGGCAGCUUCGUCUCCAAUGCCCCUUCUCUUGGCAAUAAAAGCAAAUGGACUCCUUUGGCACAGCACAUCGGACAAUCACAGACUUAGUUCUUUCUGGACUUCCAAUGUUGCCAGUGUCCAUUGAAGUUUGGGAGUUUGAUUCACCAGACAAAUUUGCUUGACCAGCACGCCAAAUCAUUGCUGAUUCAGCAGCUAUAAGCAAAUAGGUGAGAUCAAUGAGGGUCACGUCGUGAUCCAUCAUAUAGUACUCUCUAACGAACUCACUAUAUGAUUCAGGAAGUGACUGAAGAACCCAGUCAACAGCCAACUCGCUUGAAAUCUCGACACCCAACAUGCUUAACCUAUCAAUGUGUGACUUCAUCUCUAAGACGUGUGCACACACAGGUUUCCCAUCUUCGUGUUUACUUGCCAAAAGGGCUUGAGUGAGCUUGAACUUUUCAAGCCUUUGAACUUGUGGGUCAGGGAGAACAAUUGGAGGAGGUGGAGGAAGUGAAGCAUGACUCUCAUUUCCUUGAUCGUAUCUCGGAACGUCAUCUUCAUUUGGAAAGCUUGUUCCAAAGGAUUUGGGAAGACCAUUGUAAGAUUCAGACAUCUACAAAACGGGAGAAAAUUCAAGUUAAGUUGAUUAGAAUUCUUGAUGUAACACCCAAAUGAAACAUCAAGCUAGGAUCCAACACAAUACUCUACAACCUAGAAGAGGGAUGCCGUAAUCUAGUUGCAGAAUAUCUGAAGGUAGGUAAAUGACGAUUUACCAAUUUCCACCAUGAAAAACGAAAAGGAAGUUUAAGUUUUAAAUGAAUUGAAACUCCUAGAUCUUUUGAGAUUCAUUGAACUUUUCAAUGGCAUGUUUAAUCUCGAUUAUGCCCUACUAUUUGUGACUGGGAUGCCGAGGAUCACAAACAAGGUGUGAAUAACCAUACGAAUCACGUGGUGCACCCAAUGCUACAAUCACCUAAUCAAUGUGCCGGUUAGCCACACACGCUCCAUUGAUCUAUGACAAACAUCAAGUCACCCUUCGCUACCAAUGUCAUCCCCAAAUUAGUGUGCCGGUUAACCACACACGCCCCACUAACGUUUGACAAGGGUACGAAGUGUAAUUCUAUGGAUUAGCAUAUAAUUUCACAUUUUCCCUAAAGUAACUAUGAUUUGGGAAUUUUAAAAAGCAUUUAGUUACUUUGUACUUCAUUAUACUUAUAAUGGAAGGUUUCUGUCCUAUCCUACCCGUUCGGCUAACGACCCUCCACUAGUCAAGAGUGCGGUGGGUAAGAGUGGAUACCCAUUCAAUCGCCAUUUAAUAGGCAAUUUCCUUAAACACCCCUUAUAGACCAGCUUCGUGAAUGAGGCCUACUAACGGUAAGACUAACUGUUUACUCAUACAUAUAUAAUAUUAGACUUUUAAUGUUAUAUAUAGUAUAGGGUGUAUUUUACACUUUUAAAAUACUAGGUGGUUUAAUUUAGAAAAAUUAUACUUUUAGUUUAAUUAAAUGUAAACCAAAACUUUAUGGGUUUAUUAAAUCACUUUUAAUUACACACUUUAAUUAAUUAAUAAAAUCAUAAGGGUGUGAUUUGAACUUUUUCAAAUUACUAGGUUUUUUGAAUUUAACAUUUCAAAAUUAAACUUUUAAUCAACUUUUAAAUUCCAAAACUUCAGGGCAAGUUUUGAAACAUUUCAAAACAUUAGGGUUUAGAAUUUAAAUAUUUCAAAAUUAAACUUUUUAAUCAAAAUUUAAAUUCCAAAACUUGAGGGCAAGUUUUGAAACUUUUCAAAACAUAAGGUAUCAAAUAACAAAUAACAUAAAUUAAACAACUAAUUCGGUGGUU